ensembl:lncRNA
UAGAAGACAAAAGAAUUUGUGCCAAAGAAAGAACAAUAAGGGAAAAACCUCAAUAAAAUGGAAAUAAGUACUUAUCUGAUAAAGAGUUAAAAGCAAUGGUCAUGUCUGAUGCUCAGUGAACUUGAGAGAACAAUGGAGGAACCAGUGAGAACAUCAACAAAGAGAAAAUAUUAAAAAGACACAAUCAGAGCAGACAUAUGCAAUAAAUGAAAUGGAAAAUACACAAGAGGGAGUCAGGAACAGAUCUGUGGGCCUUCAGUUCACUCGUGUAAAUGGACUGAGACUUCAAGCCGUAAAACAAACGACUGGGCAAUGAAUGAACUGGGAAACAAAGCAAUAAACCAAACGUAGUCUGGAUGGCUUCUGAGUGAAAAGCAGAUACAGUCUUGGAACAAGGAACAGUAUAAUGGCAGCAGCUAAUGGAAAAAAAAGAUGACGAGGUCAAGAAGAGCAAAGAGAAAUGUUUGCUGACUACAGAUUUUGGGGCCUCUCAUCUCCAUACUCUGGUGACCAAUUCGGAGCUCUGUCAUCAAGGAACGCGUGAAAUGGAGAGCAGGAAGUGUAACUUCCUGUGGGAAACCGGUGGGCCAAGUUCUGAGGAGAGUGGCUGUUUCACUUCACUCUGAAGGUAGGCCUACCUCAAAAAUAAAAGAAAGUUCAGGUAUUCCA